UCAUUGGCUUGAACUUGAAUUGCUAGGGGGCUGGCCCACGUGGGGGGGACAUGUAGGGAAAAUGGCGCGGCACAACUUCAAGAAAACAGUUGCUUUCAAACUAGGGAUUUUGUGGCUAAUUGAGUUAAAACAGUAGUUCUACAUGUAUGAACUACACAUUGACACAUCCCAGCCCAAAGCAGAGGUGUAAAACAUACUUAGUCGCCAAAGUACCGGAGCAUGUCAUUAAUACCCAUACAAAUGUAGACCUCACAAUACAUACUCACACAGUACAGUAUGUUAAGUGCAUUACGUUUAUGCACAGCAUAUUAAUCUGCUCAACAUCCACACGCUCACAUCCAUCCACACCUAUUUUCAGUGGACAAUUGGAUAAAUCUAUUUUAAAGACCCAUUUGGAAGGAAAGUGACCAGAAAGAAACACAGAGGUAACAGUCACAGUACGGUGUUUCAGCUUGUCUGAUAGCUCCCUAGAUGCACUCUAGAUCAAAGAGUCUCCCGGGCCCCGUAUAAAGUCUCUGUUGUGAUAAGAGUUCAGCAUGACUGUGUUCCAGCGCCUCACACAGACCCAUUACUCUAUCAGUACUGACAUCAAAGUCUCACCCGGGUUGUCACUUAACUUCUCUCUGACGAAGAAAACGGCUUUCAAGUUUCGGAGCACUGUGUUUCGUAUGAUAAUGACGCCAGAGAAUGACUCGGUGUGAGUCAAGGGUAGUAGCCCACAUUAGACGGGAGUAAACACAAAGAUUCCUCACGCGUCAAAGCACAACAUGUAAUUUGGUUAGGGACGAUAUCAGAAUGUACAGAUAGAACCGUUCAGACUGAUGCAGAUGGACAGAAUGAGAGACACACCAGUUAUAAAAAUAAAUAAAAACUGCUAACAAAUACUUCACUCUGCCGUUCACAAUCCAUAUUCCAAAGCACUUCCCACAGACCUGGUGCUCUAAGAUCUCCGUUGGAUUUUAUGACACAGCAUGAGCAAAAUGAGAGUUGAGUUCAUAACACUGAUUUGUUUUGUUUGGGACUGUUAGGGCUACACAGCGCUUCACCUGGCCUCUAUACACGGACACCAGCACGUCAUCCAGCUCCUGAUCAACAUCUACAAUGCCAGAACUAACAUCAGGGACUACCAUGGCAAGCUUGCAGCCCAUUACUGGAGUGGCAAUGCUGAUGUGUUCAACAAACCAGGCUCGCAGUCAUGUGGGAAAUGGUCAUCAAAAGGAGGAAGAAAGGCCCAGCGCUACACCAACCUACCCUCUCUGCUCCUCUCUCGCUCGCGGAGCCAGGGGAACUUCAACAACCUGGAGUUUGGGACUGCGCCUCAGACCCCACGGCCCCCCCGCUCCCCAUCCAGUAUAGACUUCCACAGCUUUCAAUCCCCACAGCUCUAUGGAGAUCAUUUCUGAUUAAAGAUAGAUAAUAAUUGUUUUAUUUUGCAUCCCAAAUGGCACCCUAUUCCCUAUAUAGUGAAUAUAUAUAUAUAUACAUAUAUAUAUAUACACACACACACAAAAGGAGUGAACCAUGUAGGGAAUAGGGUGCCAUUUGGGACGUAAUCUUAUUUUUCUAUUACGAUCAUGGCUAUAUCAUGGCUAUAAAGUAUGAUUGGUCACUUCAGAGAAGCACAAAAGGAUUUUAACUGAUUGAAAGUUAAAGAAAGUUGUUCAACUGUCUGGUACAGGUCUCUCUCCUUACUAUGGAAUUUAGCACUAUGGAAUUUAGCAUGUACACUGAACAUAAAUAUGAACGCAACAUGUAAAUUGUUGGUCCCAUUUUUUUAAUGAGCUGAAAUUAAAGAUCCCAGAAAUAUUC